AUUAACUGUUGGAAAAGAUGUAUUUUAUGUCUAAUUAAUAAUUUAUUGAAAAAAAAAAUUCGGGACUGAAAUUUGGGGCUAAGGCUGAAAAUUUCAGACCAAUACCCAAAAUCUCAUCUCUCUAUCUCUCGACAAUAACCCUAAAUUUCAGACCAAGACUCUCUCCGACGAGCUGCUCACCACGAGCUUGGGAGACGACGUCAAGGACCUGCGGCCUCGAUCCGCUUCUCCCGCUUCUCCCGCUUCUCCCGCGUCUCUUCCUCCACCAGCGUUAACGACGGACGACAGACCAGCACCAAAUAGGUGUUGCGGUACACUACAACUUUGGUUUUGAUUGAUCUUUGGUGUUUGAAGAACGCAAAGCAAUUUUAUUAGAUUAGUUAGUGCUCUUGAGAGAUACUCCCUUGAGAAAAGAAACUGACGGUCUCUAGCAAUAAGCUUCACUGAGUACAGAUGUCCUGAGCAACCAGAUGGCAUCCAGUGUGUUUAAAAGGAACAUAUCAUCCUCUUACACUAACAAAGAAAUCAAUGAAAUACGUGACGAAUGGGCAAAGUAUGUCAUGCAGAUGAUAGCAGCAGGCAAAUGACUAAUAACAUAGAGUAUGAUGACCAAUGAUCGCUCAUGGAUGAUCCCCAUGUGAUCUAAGAAAAUGAUUGAUAGGUUUGACAUCGAUCUUAGUUACUAUUGUCUUGCUUUUUUAGUUUUUAGGAAGUGAUCUCCAGCUAUUUGAUUAAAGUCCCAAGUGACUACUUGGAGACUUAUUUUGUUCUUAGUAUACAUAUUUUUAGAUAUUCAGAAGAUAUUCUACAAAAGAUUGCAAAAUGUAAAAACUUAAUUGGAUUUCCUUCUUUUGUAUUGCAUUACUAAACUUUGAUGGCAUAUUAUGAUUUUCAUGAAGCUUUAAUUCUUUUGAAGAGUGUUAAAUGUAUGAAUUUUCUUAUAAAAAUAUUAUUAUUGUUA